CAAUGAUAUCUUCCAUCUAUGUAAGCAGUUGAAAAAAAAGCAUCUUGAUAUGUACUUUAAAAAAAAAAGGAGGGAGAGUUUCAGAAAAAAUGAAACAUUUGGAAGGAUGAGGAGCCACUUUCUUCUAUGUGCAACAUUGAUGACAAGAUUCAUCGUCUAAAGGUGUACUCUCUUGGUUGGGGUUCAACAAUAAUAACAGAUAAAACACAUGUGGAAUAUUGUCAAAAGAGAAAUUUUGGCUCAAAGAAAAUAUAGUAAUUUGCACAAUCCAAUAACUACAGAGAGCUAUCAACCUACAAAAUCACAGUUAAAGCAAGAUAACUCUAUUGAUCAGUUUUUCGAACGACAAAAAAUUAUCGAUAAAGGGGUGUACGAAGAAUUUGCUGCAAUUCUUAAAAGGGAAAUGAGAUAUGCUUCUGAUUCUACUUUUAUGUUUGGCCUUCCAUCAAAUUCUACCAAUGACGACAAAUGAAAUAUUAUUGAUGAUAAAAGUACAAUAUUAUUAUUAAUGCUUCUGAUUUUAUGAUGUUGAAUAUGAUUUCAAAUAUAGUUUUCAUUUCAUCUAUGUUUUAAUGUGUUUAUAUUGAUAUGUGGUUAUAUUAUAUUUGUUUUAAUGUGUUACUUAUCAUGACAAUAUA